rnacentral:lncRNA from 1 species
CUCCAGCGAAUUUUUUGGAUGGAAUUACUCCCCUCGAGUUAUAUCCUCAUUGGGUUGAGUCUUGAUUGACCAUUUUCUCUCUAGAUCUUACCUAGAUAUAUACUUUGGUCCCUCUAAGAGUCUAUGAAUCCGUAACCGGUAAUAUUCUUCUUAGGUUUCAUUUUGUUACUUCUUGCCCAAUGCCCGACAAAAGUACCCUUUUUGGUUUCCUCAGUAGAGUCCCCUGAAAGUAUAUCCUUGAUAUGUUCACUUUAAACAGUGAC